GUGUUGGUGGUUUAGUGGUAGAAUUCUCACCUUCUGUGCAAGAGAUUUGAGUUCAGUUCCUGGCCAAUACA
rnacentral:tRNA from 1 species